rnacentral:rRNA from 1 species
AAUGGGGGAAACCCUGAUCCAGCCAUGCCGCGUGCAGGAAGACGGACCUAUGGUUUGUAAACUGCUUUUGAACGAGAGAAAACCCGAGUACGUGUACUCGGCUGAUAGUAUCGUUAGAAUAAGCAUCGGCUAACUUCGUGCCAGCAGCCGCGGUAAGACGAAGGAUGCAAGCGUUAUCCGGAUUCAUUGGGUUUAAAGGGAGCGUAGGCGGACUUGUAAGUCAGUGGUGAAAUCUGUGGGCUUAACCCACAAACUGCCAUUGAUACUGCAGGUCUAGAGUACAGUUGCCGUUGGCGGAAUAUGACAUGUAGUGGUGAAAUUCUUAGAUAUGUCAUAGAACACCGAUUGCGAAGGCAGCUAACGAAGCUGUAACUGACGCUGAGGCUCGAAAGUGCGGGGAUCAAG